UGUUCUGGCAGUUGGAUCGUGGAUCUUUCUAUCUUUUUACAUAGGGACUUCCACUUCUUUAUGCUUACUCCAGUUUGAAUAAGAAAAGGAAAAUUAAACAUCUUGUCUGAACAAGAAAGCAAGUGUCUUCCGCGUUAAGAUAAUGGAAGUGGUUGUCAUUUGUGAUGGCUAGAUUAAUCAGCAGAAACUUACUAUUUGGACAGGAUACAGGAUUUACUUCUGAAAGACUAAAGGCAUUUUUAAUUGCAAAAGAUGGAUAGGAAUGUGGAUAUGGAACGUGUUCUUAUUUGCAGCAAACACAACAUCCUUGUGGCCAUCAGGACGUUGUAGAGAUGAAGGCCAUACGAGUACACAGGUGGAUGCAUGGGUGAAAUGGGUGAGUGAUGUUUUCUUGUUUCCCCUUUCACACGAGUGUUGGGCCAAAUGCUGGCGGCUUGCACAAAGCUGGGCUCUGUGCAGGAGUUGGUGGAGGUGCUCCCGGGGAAUGUCCUGGGGGAUUGGAGUCUGUUGCCGUAGCAACUGGAUGCAUGCCUUAACAAUAGAUGUGAUUCUGCCCUGUAUCCCCUCCAUCCUUUCCUCUGUAACAAAGCAACAAAUGGGCUUUGCUUCCCUUUGCGUGCCACCUGUUAGAGCCCCAAGAGCCAGGAAUGUUGCCAGCUUUACCACAGCAUAA
rnacentral:lncRNA from 1 species